rnacentral:rRNA from 1 species
AACGAACGCUGGCGGCAGGCCUAACACAUGCAAGUCGAGCGCGCCCUUCGGGGUGAGCGGCGGACGGGUGAGUAACGCGUGGGAACGUGCCCUUCUCUGCGGAAUAGCCUCGGGAAACUGAGAGUAAUACCGCAUACGCCCUUUGGGGGAAAGAUUUAUCGGAGAAGGAUCGGCCCGCGUUGGAUUAGGUAGUUGGUGGGGUAAUGGCCCACCAAGCCGACGAUCCAUAGCUGGUUUGAGAGGAUGAUCAGCCACACUGGGACUGAGACACGGCCCAGACUCCUACGGGAGGCAGCAGUGGGGAAUCUUAGACAAUGGGAGCAACCCUGAUCUAGCCAUGCCGCGUGAGUGAUGAAGGCCUUAGGGUUGUAAAGCUCUUUCAGCUGGGAAGAUAAUGACGGUACCAGCAGAAGAAGCCCCGGCUAACUCCGUG